AGUGCAAUUGCUGGGUCGUAGGUUAGUUCUGUUUUUUAUUUUUUGAGGAACCUCCAUACUGUUUUCCAGAGUGGCUGUACCAGUUUGCAUUCCCACCAGCAGU
rnacentral:pre_miRNA from 1 species